AGGACAAACGCUGGCGGGGUGCAUGAGACAUGCAAGUCGAACGAGGUGCCAUCGGGCUUGCUCGAUGGUUACCUAGUGGCGGACGGCUGAGUAACGCGUAGGUGACCUACCCGGAAGUGGGGAAUAACUGCCCGAAAGGGUGGCUAAUACCGCAUGUGGUCGGCGAUUCGAUUCGCCGUACUAAAAGGAGCAAUUUCGCUUCCGGGAGGGGCCUGCGUCCGAUUAGCUAGUUGGUGGGGUAACGGCUCACCAAGGCGACGAUCGGUAGCUGGUCUGAGAGGAUGAUCAGCCAGACGUGGGACUGAACGAACCGGCCCAGACCUCCGUACGGGAGGCACGCGAGGUCGGGUAAUUUUCGCCCAAGUAGGACG
rnacentral:rRNA from 1 species